GGUUGCCAUUAUCCCAUGACAUUAAUCUCAAGAUUCUCUAAUAAACAAUUAAACAGUUUUUGAUCAAAGUUUUUGCUUAUUACACGAGUACUAACAAUUGUAGAAGUAUGUAAAAAGCUUCAUGCAUUACUGGGGAUGAAGCAUUAUGGAUUAUUGAUUCAGAGCAGCACUUAGUCUUGAAUACAAGUUUGUAUAGGCCACGUUGGGCUCUUAAUUCCAUCUAAUUCAUGGCUGAAGCUUUAUCUACAUGACCACUAUACUGGUAGAAUGAACUCAUCCCUCCUUUUAAUCAUGGGCGUCGAUGUUCCGGAGAAGAAUCCGUGAUGAGCAGCAUUUCCACCGUCGAUUAUUGCAGCCCCAGAUUUUUCACCUCCUUCUCUUUCACAUCCUUCCUCUCCUUACCUACAUAGUACAUAAUGAUUUCGUUAAAUAUCACGGUCUGGGACGAAAUAUGGCUUACGGGAAUCGCUCUUACUUGACACAAUGAAUAGCAACCCCAAAUUAGUUUUUUUUAUUUGUCAUCUUUCUGCUGGAGGU